CGGUGAGCCUCUCCCAUAGGAGCCAGGAGGCAGCUGUCUGGCACAGCCCUGUUUUUGGUGCUUGCUGAGGAUAGCCCUUUGGGUCACUGGGACUUCUCCUGCUCCUGAUGAGCAGCAGCUAUCCAGAGACAUCUGUGGUGAACAGUUGUGACUACUGGAAUUCAGCUGCUGUCUUGCACUAAUUUUUGAUUGUAAAAGCUCAUUCAUAAGGAAAUAUUUUAGCCCUCUUCUUUCUGUUGCCUAUUCCCAAUGAACUUGGAAAUGCACAGGUAGGAUAAAAGAUUUAUGGAAGUAAUGCUUGAGGUACUGUUCAGAUAUGAUUUGGUAAGUAAUUUCAUCUCCAAAAGAAACCGUGGCCAAUGUAUUCAGGGCAAAAGCAUCCCUUUCUAUAUGCUCCAGGGUGCCAGUGUCUGUCCCAAACAAAGCCAUGCUGUGGGUGGUGCUGCUGUCCUUAAUUAACACAUAUUUGUUAAGUUUAUGGUAUUUCCUCACUCAAAAAAUGGUAUGAUGUAUCAUACUGUAGCGACUUGGUGUGUAUGUGGUUACUCUUCAAAAACAAAACAAAACAAAAAAAACAACAACAACAACAAAAGAACAAAAAACUUUAUGGGGAA